rnacentral:misc_RNA from 1 species
AAAAAAAAAAAAAAAAGAAAGUUUCGAGAAUUUGUUUCACUCGCUAUGUCCCAACAAUUCUGUUUGUGUUAACUUGAGAUUCAUUCUCCCCCAAGAUUCUUAGCGUGCCAAAGUCAGAUAUUUUUGGGUUAAUGUUACUAACCAGCAAAACACUGCUGGUUUUUACAUCUCUGUGAAUGACUCUUAACUUGUAGUACUGAUGGAGGUAAAGAAGCCUUGAGCAAUCCCUUCAAUAAUGCAGAACCUCUUUUCCAGUCUAGUGAAGAUCUUUCUGUUGAAUUUAUAUCAUAAAUUAAUUGCAUAACAAUAUUAAAAAUAAAUCUAGAAAUUACAAAGAUAUGAAUAGGAAAAACACAAGGUAGCUAAUUAACUAACCAAAAAUGGAGUCCAGGGUUUUGUUAGGC